GGCUGAAAUUCGCCUUCAUGAAGCCGGAAUUGCUAGUAAUGGCAGGUCAGCAUACUGCCGUGAAUACGUUCCCGGGCCUUGUACACACCGCCCGUCACACCAUGAGAGUUGGGGAUACCCGAAGCCUGUGAGCUAACUAUUUAUAGGAGCAGCAGUCGAAGGUAGAAUCAAUGAUUGGGGUGAAGUCGUAACAAGGUACC
rnacentral:rRNA from 1 species